AAUGCAAAUCGAGCCUGAACCUUGAAACACAAAGGCAUCUGCUUGCAUUCUGGAGAAUUUCGAGUGAUUUCCUCUCCUUGUUUUCCCCGCUGUCGAGCAGCAGGAUCCAGUGAUACCAGCUGUGCUCCCCGAGCGGCUGGGCGAGAGCCUGUGCGCUAAGAAAUGGGCUGAGUCGCUCCAGUGCAAAUGUAUUGCAAAAACACCAGUAGCAAGAAGUUAAGUCAAACCGCAGGCUGUGUGUUUUGCGCUUGCUUUUUUUCUCUCCUUCCAUCUUGUCUUUGCCUCUCCUCCUGCCUCUGAUUUGUCCAAAGGACUUCUGUCUUUCUGCUGCUGUUUCACAUGUAGUUCCCCCUCCCUUCCUUUGCAAAGCACCUUCUCCUUCCCCUUGUUGCGUCCUGUCUUUCCUUUGCCCCACUUUGAAUGGUCGGCCCCCCUGUUUUACCUCCCAUGGUAGUUGGCCUCCUGCCUCCUUUUCUUCUGUCCACUACGAGCCAGACUCUGUUCCACAUAUUCGGUGUAUUUGGGCACCUAGGUGGGGUUGUGUGCCACCCUGCUGCAGUUGGGUGGGCCCUCUUCCGCCUCCUUGCUUUUUUGUGACAGCUCAUCAUGUAGAUGGGGCUGAAUGGAGACUAGGGGCAGAUGGACUGAAUGGGGAUAGUGAGGUCGGGUAAAUGCAUUUGGGGGGACAGAAUCACCUGGGAAGAUAGAGGGUGAAAUCAUAGCCCCAGGGAAAUCAAUGCCAAAACUUCAGUUCAUUUCCAUGGGACUGGUUCUCCCAGAAUCAGGUGCCGGAGGAAAAGUGGGGCAAGCUCGCCAUUGCUGGAGGAAAAUGGUAGUCCUGCGGCUAGCAAAUGAAGUGGGAAAUAAGCUCUCUGCAGUUGCAGAUAGGUGUGGGAAUAGGUCUACGUGGAUGGACUUUCCCCUCACCGUUGUGUUGGGGGAUUGGGAGAAGACGCACUUGGGAUUUUACAGAGAAAUAGCUCUUGGGAGAUAGGAGAUAGGUAGGGGACGCGGUUAGUAGAGAGAAAGCUGCCAGCAUCACAGGGAGACCUCUAGGACUUUAAAUACACAUUCAAAUUUCUGGGCAACCCACGUGAACUCCAGAUCUGAACUUAUAGGUGGGGAGUGGUAGGAGCCUAGAUCCUCUUCAUCUGUCCCUACACUACAUACUACCACCAAACACCUUAUGGCAUUAUAGGGAACUCAUUUACCUGGGAGUUUCUGCAUGUCCUAUUGAACACCCAGAGGACAACAUAAUAUCCUAGGAAGGAGAAAAAGGCUGGGUUGAGGAGGACAGCAUCUCCAAGGAGGAGGAGAGGAAAUGGCAGGAAAUAUAAAGAAAAUCUCUGGUGUACGCCUCUGUCCUUAGAGGGUCACAAGGGAGGAGCCCUUCUGUAUGCACAGCAGUCCAGUAUCUUGUAUCUGACCCUGGCCAGCAGAAGAUGACCCAGAACAGAUGGUCUAACACAGAGGUGACCAACCUGAAGCACAUGUGCCAAGUGACAUGGCUAUCCUCUAUGUGGCACAUGGCAGAUUGGGGAUGGGGCAGGCAGCACAUUGGCAGAUGGGGCAGGGAGCAGAAAGCAGAGCAGCAGAUCAGGCAGGGAGCAGAAAGAGGAACACAGCUCUCUUGGGCUAGGGACAGAAGUUGCACAUAAACUGGUUUAAGGGAUCGAAAACUGGUUUAAACCUGUAACAGAACAGGACCUCAGUGCACAUAAACCAGUUUCAAAAUGGCCGAAACUGAUUUAAGAUAAACCUGAUUGAAUGUAGUAUCAGACUUAACUGAUCUGGGUCAAACCGGUUUAUGAAACUUCUGCCCCAGACCCCUUCCUGGUUCAAGUUAAACCACAGUCCCCCAGCAUCCCAGCAUGCUUUGCAGCCCUGUGCUGGGCUGGGCUGUCUGUUCCAGAGAGUAGGGUUGGCCCCGCCCCUCUGCUCCCUAUCUUAAGCAGUGAGGGCUGGUUGACAAGGAGGAGCAGGCCCAGUUGGGGAUGUAGCCCAGUCUGCAAGCGGCAGAGAUUGUCCCCCCAGACAAAUCCCAGCUAGGGUCUGGGGCCAGAGGGAGUUAAACACCCUUUCCCCUGCUCAAACUUACCGCUGGCUGUAACUGUGGACUACAAAUCCCAGAGGCACCUGGAAACAAGAAAAGGAAGUGAUGAGCAAUCCUGCAGAGUCUUGCUCUUGUGCUUGUGGACUGCAAAUCCCAGAAACCUUGGGGGCAGCAGGAAGAGGAAGUGAACGCAUAGCUCAUGCUGGAUGCUGCUAGAGAGUCAUGCUCUAGCGUCCCUCAGCUUCUGGUCUGAGCCACUGCAGGCAUAUGGCUGCAUUUGCUGAAUCAAAGAUGGUGAUGAUAAAUGCUCGGUUUCCCUUCCCUGUAGUAUUCAUUCUACAGCCUCAGCCUUAUGGAAGAGCACUAUACUCAGACUUAAAAACCACCCUGAUGACCUCACACAACAGGCUGAUAAGGGGAGUGCCGCUGGUGUCGUGAACAAGACAGCAUAUGUACAGGAAGCUAAGAAACAUCUUUCCAGAGUUUAACAUACCCCUGACCAAAGACCCCAUGUAACACUACCAUAGGAAAGCUCUUAAAGAUGAACACCUUCAAAAACACAGGCGAGGAUUUAUGCUUCCAUCUUCUGGGCACCCAAGUCGGACACAUUUUACUUAUUACCCAAGGUCCACAAACCUGGGAACCCAGGACACCCCCUUGUCUCUGCCCUUGGCAUCAUCACGGAAAGAGUUUCUGGCUAUGUUGACAUACAUUCCCAUAUGCCAGUGGAGCUGCCAGUUGUUUGGAGGACACCACAUUUCCUAAAGAAACUAGGCUCCGCUGACAAACUUCCAGCAACCACCACAUUAGCUAUCCUGUAUGUCACAUCCUUGUACACCAGCAUUCUCUACGAGGAUGGGUCACAUCAUCCCUGAUGAUGACACUACCUCUGUUUCCAUCAUGCUCGUCUGCUUUAUACCUGCUAUUGUGGUUCAGUGGUAGACUCCUUAUCUGCACGUGGGAGAUCUGGGUUUUAUUCCCACAUUGCAUAUAACUACAGCUAUCGAGGCACCAAAUGUCUGGACUUGGUCUGACCUUUGGAUGGUGUCUAAAGCGGGGAUGGAAGGUCUGGGCAGCCUCCAUUCCUCCAUGCUCCUUCCUAGGUGCAUGUGGCAAAGGUCUUGGUGACCUCUUAUGCAUACACCAUGAUCCAGAAGAAUUGCCUACUACCAUGGCUUUAUCCUCACAUGCAACUAUUUUAUUACCGGUGGCUCCCUAUACCUAUAAAUGAACAGCACUCUCACGGGCGCAUGCAUGGCCUCCCCAUAUGCCAAUAUACUUAUGAUGGACUUUGGAGGCUGCUGUCUCUGCAGCUGCUCUUUCAUCUCCACCCAGCAUAUUCCUUUUUUUGGACACCAGUGGGAAACUUCUCAGUGGUCACAUCAUCAGCACAUUGUAUUGGAAACCAACUGACUGCUACAGUUAUCUCCACGUCAAUAGUUUUCAUCCUAAACCCACCAUUAGAUCCAUCAUCUACAGCCAAGCUGUGUUACAACUGUAUCUGGAUCCCACCAACCCAGGUUGUACACUUUAGGAAUCUGGAUCAGGGAUUCCUACACUUACAACACACAGUGGCUUCAUCCUGAGCCUUUGCUGGGAAGGGUGGCAUAUAAAUCAUAUAAAUAAAUAACCCUGAUCAUAUAUAUAUAUAUAUAUGUGUGUGUAUGAAUGUGGUUUUUGAUCAUGUACUUUGGUACUACAGCUCUGAUUCACUGUGGAUUUGCAUGCUGCCUUUUGGCAUGCAGGUUAAAAAGGUUACGGGCUUGUUUUGUGCCUCUGCUUUAAUUUGUAUCGCAAAAGAGUUAUGUGGGGGACCAGAAGGGAUGGCAAUGGGAGAAGCAGGCCCCUGAGAGGCAGAGAAGGGGUGGGAGAAAAUCUGGGUUGUGACCAAGGAGCCCGGAGAGCCCAGGAAGACUUCAGACUGGAGUUGACCUUUGAUGGCAUUCCCUCUGAGACUGGUAAACCAUCAAUAGUGUAGGACAGCUGAAGUCAUCUUGCAGGGCUGAAUCCUGAUGAGGGUGACAGCCCUGUCCCUGAGUGGCCAGAGACUGGUGCUUCCCUGGGGCUGGCAAGUCCCAGCGAUGUACUUAGAGUGACCAUCCAGAGAGCACCAAGCAGCAAUGUAGGUGCCACCGCUCUGGUCUCCAAAGUAAGUGGCAGGUGGGAGCUCCAGCAGCACUCACCGAGUGGCAGUGAUCACAACUGGAUCUUCCUAAAGGAGAGGUAGGCAGUGACGCACAAUCUUUCCCAGCAAAGCGGUGCCUAGCACAGCAGCAGAGUGGGCCAGAAAGAGAGACAAGUGUAGGUUAUGAGAAGAUUAGGCUCUAAAAGGAGCCGCUGCUUGAACAGCCUGUCCCCUGAUACAACUCCUAAAACAUCCUUACCGGGGUUCAGGAAGUACCAUAGAAAAGUACAGUUGGAAGGGAUCUCAGGUCGUCUAGUCCGACCUCUUGCUCAAGGCAGGCUCAUCCCUGUCUAAACUUUUUACAGAAAUAUUUGUCUAAUCUGCUCUUAAAAACUUCCAAGGAUGGCGAAUCCACCACUUCUCUAGGUUGACAACCUAUUGAAAAAAAUGUCAGUUUUAAAAAACCACAAGCCCUGAGGCUGAAGCUGGACCAGGGCCCAGCAACAGAAGUCGGGUUCGUUUUGGAGCAUUCAGCUUAAUAUUCAAUCCCAGUCCAUUAAGUUAAGGGACGAUGUAAAUGUGCGUGUUUGAAGUGUACUUCCCCUGAGCUGUAUUUGUCUUUACUUUAGCUGUUGCUUUUAUUUACCAGGGGUGGGCAAUUAUUUCGGCUGGAGGGCCGCUUAAUGAGUUUUGGCGAGCUGUCGAGGGCCGCAAGGAUAGCCCUGCCCCUUGACAGGUGCCCUGCUCCCUGGUCACCAUCUUGGGACCCCCUUACUUUUGCCACCAGAAGGCCCACCCUUGCCCUGAGAAGUACUCCUUUUGGGAAGGGGGUUUGCCAUGUUGAAACAGGGAGAAAAAAACCAAAUUACAUACUAAAAAUCAAACCCCGACAAAAACAUAUUUUAAUAAGGACUCUGUUCCAGUGCUGAACCACCCUCGGAGUUAAAAAGUGCUUCCCCUUAUUCUCCAUAUUUUUUUCAUGUCACUUCAAGUUUGUGCUCCUGCUGGGAAUGAUUUACAGCGAUUAACAGCAAGAUCACAUCAGGGCUGGGAGUGAUGGAUAGGAAAGCUGAGAUCGCACUGGGAUGGAGUUCAUCAUGAGAUGCUUCUAGCAGAAAGCGCCCCCGUCAUUUGUGUUGGGUUUGCAAGUUUGUUUGAUGACACUCCCCUCCUGAACUUCUCCCUGACAUUUCAGCCUUGUGUUUCAGGUCGGAAGGAGGCGCUGGAAAUGAAAGCAGUUUUAAUAACACUCUGCACCUUCUCAUCCGCUCGCACAAGUUGCAGAGCAUUGCAUGGUGUCGGAAUAAUGGGCAUCCACUGACCAUGGCAGAGGUAUGGAUGUGACUUGUUUCCCUGCACCCAGAAGGUGUGGGGAGUCCAGCAACCUCCCAGAAAUAUGGCUGGGAUGUGAGCUAUGCCUUCGGACCGGUUUCCCCUCAGAAGGUGGAUUCACAUGGGAAAAACAUAAGUAACUUCCAUUUCAUUAAGCAUUGGUGCAAAGUUUUUCUUUGGCUCAGGUAUUAGAAGCCUGGUCUAGCUCAAACUAAAGGCUUGUUUUCUGGUAUCAGCUUUGCAAACAUGUGCUCAGACUACUAAUAAACGUGCCUUGCUUACAGCAA